ensembl:lncRNA
AAAUAGAUAGAAUACAAAAAGAUUAGAAAGGUAGUUAGAAUUUUUUUUAUUUAUUUAAAAAAAAAUAGAAUUAGAAUAGUUAAUACUGGCUUGCAUGCUGCUAAAUAUUGCAUAUUUCCUAUUAUGUAUUUUGUAUAUGUAUUAUGGUUUGACUUUUAAUUACAAGUAAAAUCUCGAACCUCUUCAUGGCAGUGAUGGUCAACAGCUAAUAGUACUUUUGCUUGUCACUAAACAAUAAUUAAACAAAACCAUACUGUCACAUAGGACUUGCAGUAAAUAGUCCACAAAGACAAAUUAUCCAAAAUAAUAGUCUUAAAUACAAAACUUGCAGAAAACCGAUCACACAAUACCUUUACACAGAACUGACAAAACAAGGAAACACAGGGCUAAAAUAUACAGAUAAUGAUGAACUGAAACAGAACAGGUGUGGGAUCUAAUUAAUCAAAAACCCUGAAAACUGAAACUCAGGCAGGUACACAGAAACAGAAUGUCUGUAAAGCUGCUUUGAUUCAGUAUUAUGAGGAAUGAAAAUAAUAGUGAAUCUAGUGAAUAUUAUUACAUGACUUUAAAAUGAUUCAGAAUAAAGAUUUAUUUUUCUUUUCUGAAUUUAAAAAUAACAAAUUUGAAAAAACUUUUGAAGACACUACUCUUCCAACAAUGAACUGCUCAUUAAAAUAGAGAGUGAAUGGUGAAUUAGUGAAUUAUACAAAGUAAUCAAAACUGUUAAACUAUAAUCACAUUUUAGUUGUCAAAUCAUUAAGUGGACCUACGAUCAGCCUCUGCACUGUCAAAAACAUCAGAAAACAGCCUUAUAUCAGGGCCGUGCACAGGGGGGUGGCCCGGUGGCUAGAGCCCAUGCCCCUUUGCCCUCAUCGGCUGAGGUGCCCCUCUCACCAAUCCCCCCAUCACCCCCAGCUCAAAGCGGUCUGUUACUGCUCCGCUAAAGAUCCGCUGAUUCCGCGAAUCCACUCCGUGUUUCCUGCCGCUCCGCAGCUGGAGAGUGAAGACCACAGUCCCCGAAGCUCGUUGCAAUACCAGGAAAUGUGAAGAGGAGUCCAACUUUCCUGAACCACAACGUCCUC